UACGAAGGGGGCUAGCGUUGUUCGGAAUUACUGGGCGUAAAGCGCGCGCAGGCGGUCUUCCAAGUCAGUGGUGAAAGCCUGGAGCUCAACUCCAGAACUGCCAUUGAAACUGUUAGACUUGAGUACGAGAGAGGUGAGUGGAACUGCGAGUGUAGAGGUGAAAUUCGUAGAUAUUCGCAAGAACACCAGUGGCGAAGGCGGCUCACUGGCCCGAUACUGACGCUGAGGCACGAAAGCGUGGGGAGCAAACAGG
rnacentral:rRNA from 1 species